rnacentral:rRNA from 2 species
ACCACUUCGGUGGGGAUUAGUGGCGAACGGGUGAGUAACACGUGGGCAAUCUGCCCUUCACUCUGGGACAAGCCCUGGAAACGGGGUCUAAUACCGGAUACCACUCUCGCAGGCAUCUGUGAGGGUUGAAAGCUCCGGCGGUGAAGGAUGAGCCCGCGGCCUAUCAGCUUGUUGGUGAGGUAAUGGCUCACCAAGGCGACGACGGGUAGCCGGCCUGAGAGGGCGACCGGCCACACUGGGACUGAGACACGGCCCAGACUCCUACGGGAGGCAGCAGUGGGGAAUAUUGCACAAUGGGCGAAAGCCUGAUGCAGCGACGCCGCGUGAGGGAUGACGGCCUUCGGGUUGUAAACCUCUUUCAGCAGGGAAGAAGCGAAAGUGACGGUACCUGCAGAAGAAGCGCCGGCUAACUACGUGCCAGCAGCCGCGGUAAUACGUAGGGCGCAAGCGUUGUCCGGAAUUAUUGGGCGUAAAGAGCUCGUAGGCGGCUUGUCACGUCGGGUGUGAAAGCCCGGGGCUUAACCCCGGGUCUGCAUUCGAUACGGGCUAGCUAGAGUGUGGUAGGGGAGAUCGGAAUUCCUGGUGUAGCGGUGAAAUGCGCAGAUAUCAGGAGGAACACCGGUGGCGAAGGCGGAUCUCUGGGCCAUUACUGACGCUGAGGAGCGAAAGCGUGGGGAGCGAACAGGAUUAGAUACCCUGGUAGUCCACGCCGUAAACGGUGGGAACUAGGUGUUGGCGACAUUCCACGUCGUCGGUGCCGCAGCUAACGCAUUAAGUUCCCCGCCUG